rnacentral:misc_RNA from 1 species
UUUCGUUGGUAAUUACCGACGAAACAUUUGGUCGUUAUUUUUAUUAUUUGGUCGCUACUUUUGCCGCUAAUGUUAGGCACCACUUUUACCUACAAGAUUACAUCAUCGGUAAAGUUUUAGUCGGUAAUUUCGUCGGUAAAAAUUAGUUUAAAUUUUAUUUCUCUUUUUGUCGGUAAAGCGUCGGUAAUUCGUCGGUAAAUUACCCACGAAAUUUUACAGUCGGUAAUUUUCAUAGUUAUUUUUAACUUUUCUUAUAGUGAAAUAAUUUUAAAUUUUAUCAAAAAGAUGGUUCAAUAAUUAAAUUUAUGAGGGGUCAACGUACACAAAUAUUUGAAGAUACAAAGAAUAUUUAACAAAAAAGAGGGUUCAACUGAACCCGCAUCUUAUACAUUAGAUCCGCCAUUGGGAUCAACUGUGUCAGCUAAUUAGAUGUGAGAAAACAAACAUAAUUUUCUAAGAGAAGCAUACAAAUAUUUGAGGAAUUGAAGUCAACUACAACCAGACUCACACUGACAAUGAAGUUCAAAUCCACUGACAUAAAAGCUCCUUGUGAACAAGUUAUAUACACAAAUAGCUAAAUAAAAUGUAGGCAAUAUCAUCAACAG